GCUCUUUCUCGAUUCUGUGGGUGGUGGUGCAUGGCCAUUCUUAGUUGGUGGAGUGAUUUGUCUGGUUAAUUCUGAUAAGGAACCAGACCCUGACAUGGUGACUGGUUACACGAUCCCUGAGCAGUCGGCAUCCCCCAACUUCUUAGAAGGACAAGUGGUGUUCAGUGACCCAAGAUUGGGCAAUAACAGGUCUGUGACGCUCAUAGAUAUCUGGGGCUGCACGUGCACUACACCAACUGGCUCAGUGUGUGCCUCCCCUACACCAGCAGGCGCUGGUAAACUCUUGAACCCUAUUCGUGAUGGGGAUUGGGGAUUGCAAUUAUUCCCCAUGACCGAGGAAUUCCUAGUAAGUGCAGGUCAUAAGCUUGCAUUGAUUAAAUCCCUGUUUGC
rnacentral:lncRNA from 10 species